ACUCUAGUAUUGGCCUCAAUCCACAUGUGUUGAGGUGGAUUGGGGUGUAAAUUAGUUUAAGUUACACCCCAAUUCACCCCAAUACAAGUUCGAUUGAGGUCAAUGCUAGA
rnacentral:pre_miRNA from 1 species